GAUGAACGCUGACAGAAUGCUUAACACAUGCAAGUCAACUUGAAUUUGGGUUUUUAACUUAGGUUUGGGUGGCGGACGGGUGAGUAACGCGUAAAGAACUUGCCUCACAGCUAGGGACAACAUUUGGAAACGAAUGCUAAUACCUAAUAUUAUGAUAAUAGGGCAUCCUAUAAUUAUGAAAGCUAUAAGCGCUGUGAGAGAGCUUUGCGUCCCAUUAGCUAGUUGGAGAGGUAACGGCUCACCAAGGCGAUGAUGGGUAGCCGGCCUGAGAGGGUGAUCGGCCACAAGGGGACUGAGAUACGGCCCUUACUCCUACGGGAGGCAGCAGUGGGGAAUAUUGGACAAUGGACCGAGAGUCUGAUCCAGCAAUUCUGUGUGCACGAUGAAGUUUUUCGGAAUGUAAAGUGCUUUCAGUUGGGAAGAAACAAAUGACGGUACCAACAGAAGAAGUGACGGCUAAAUACGUG
rnacentral:rRNA from 1 species